rnacentral:rRNA from 1 species
UACAGAGGUCUCAAGCGUUGUUCGGAUUCAUUGGGCGUAAAGGGUGUGUAGGUGGCGCCGUAAGUCGGGUGUGAAAUUUCGGAGCUUAACUCCGAAACUGCAUUCGAUACUGCGGUGCUUGAGGACUGGAGAGGAGACUGGAAUUCAUGGUGUAGCAGUGAAAUGCGUAGAGAUCAUGAGGAAGACCAGUGGCGAAGGCGGGGUC